GGAAGAAACAAUCAAAAGGAAAACUGUUUUUACAGCUUGUGACAAGGUAAUACCAAUAAAUAGGAAUGGCGCCUUGAUCGUUCAUCCCAGAGACCCUAAUACUUAGUUUGACUGUAUAAUUUAUCGUCCAAACCAAGAUUUUUUUUUAGAGAGCGAAAGGGGGUGCAAUUAACAAUUACGCUGGAACAACAGGUGUGAAUUAGAACAUUUCAGGCAAACGGGACAAAUGAUCACCCUACUAAUACUAGAAAGGAGAAGGAUUAAUUAUAAGAGAAGAACACUGACAUGGGGCAGGUUUUUAAUUAAUAUUUAAUAUGGAAAGGAAUUUUUUAAAGAGUUUAAUACAUGCUCAUUUUAACUAUAGAGGUUGGUGAUAUCCCAGUCAUAUCCUCUUUGUACUGAUCAUUAAAUCAGUGAGUCUUAUCUUGUUAAAUGGUAGGUUAUUUUAUAUAUUUCAGACACAUUGAAAGGAACAUUGAUUUUUUUUAACCCUGAAAACCAAUUAGUAGAGCAUAAUAAUGCCCUUGUCUCCUGAACAUGAAUGCCCAUUCCACUGGGGAGUAACCUACUUACCUGGAAAACAGGAGUUUUCAAUCUAUCUUUUGGACGUGUCGCGUCUUAAAGGACGGUUAUCUUGGAGAAGGGAUUUGAUGUUGGUGUUGAAGAAAGCUCAUCAAUGGCUUGGCAAGAAAUAAGAGAUGAAGAGUUCUGGAAGCCUGUAAAGAAAAGCUCAUAGAAGAGAACAGGUGAAACUUUAGGAAAGGACACCAAGGAACUAAUAAUAAUUUUUUUUAAAGGAUUGUUAUAUCUGAGGUAACUUUGGGGGGAAGCUGGGUGAAGGGUACACGGCACUUCCCUGGACUAUACAAAUACUUGUGAGUUUAUAAUUAUUUCAAAAUAAAAAGUUUAAACAGA